UUUCAUUUCCCCAGUUGAACUUCUAGAUUGGCUUUCUGGACACUGUGGGUUUGUAUCAUUUAAGUGGGUCUGCAAAGCAUAAAUUGACUCAAAUGAGUUCUGCUGAAGGUAGCUAUCCUAACCCUGCAUCAGCUGUUUUUAUUUAUGUUUAAUUUUUUAGUGCUGCUACAUGCUAACGAUGCUAUCAGCGAUUCCACUUGUGCUAGCUUGCCAAUUAGUAGGCCUACACAAACCAAAAUGGGAAAACGAUGCCUUUAGUUUAUUGAUGGGCGAGUCGGACCUUGUCAGGAAGCUGGAAUUCGAGGAUAGCCUUUGUGAACGCUUUUGGAAGGAAGAAGAAGACCUUUAAGGUGCUUUCAUGAGCUUUGGUGCACGAGCUAUCCACCUGUGUCAAUGAUGCCUGGAUUGGAGUGAAACCACGUUGGAAGAACGAGUCCGCUAAAGGUUGAAAAUCCAAGAAUGAGUUUGAGAUUCCCACAGCUGCUAUCAUUCCAAACAUUACCAGGAACAUUCCUCCGAUGACUGGAUCAGGGAUGGUAAUAAAAAUGGCACCAAAUUUC